AUUAGCUCUUUUCUGCUCCAAAAAUUUGCAUUCUCUCCCCUAAACAUCACCUCAGCUUUUCCCUCAGAAAUGUCACCUUGCUCCCCUUGACAUCCUCACGUUUUCCUACACAAACAGUUCUUGUGUCCCCUCUCAACUGUCCCAGGUUUUCAGCUAAAAAUGUCACUUCUGUCCCCUCUGAGUUACCCCAGGUUUUCCCUGUUAGGAGCUGCAAGGAAUUCGGGCAGGGCAAAGGACAGCAGGGAAUUCUGUAAAUUCAAAGCCAGAGAGAGAACAUCUACCAGCAAAGGGGAAAGGUUUCAGAAAACAUUUCUGCAAUUACUAAUUAAUAAUCAUUUCCAAUUCCCAGUGAGAAGAACAUGAAUUCACCACCAUUAAGGCCUGGCAGUUCCCUGAAUGAGACCUCAGUGCACAUCCACAGAGGCAAUUCCAGCAUCUGAAAGAAAAAGCAAGAAGAAAAAGGCACUUCUGCAAUCCAACCCUGAAGCUGAGCAGCCCGAAAGCUCUGAGUCUGCUCUGGAACAAAAGGAUCCUCCCAGGGGCCCCACUUGUGAGUUCCUGAAUCUUUUGCCAUUGGACUUUGGACAAAGGAAGAGAAGGAUCUGUUCCACACAGGUGUCAUCCAGCAGGGAACAGCCCCUGUGCCAGCCCCAGCCUGGGCUGAGCACGCUGCCUCACUGCCCCAUUCUGCAUCCUGGCUCCACUCCAGUCUGAGUUUUCCCCCAUUUUCCAUGUCUAGAAACAGGAACUUGUCCUGGUCAGGGUUUAAGACCUUAAAGUGCACAUUGAUCUGGGGGCUGUGACUGGAUUCCAGCAGGGAAUUCAUGGUUCUACAAAUGAAAACUUCCAGGGAGCAGCACUGAAAAUUUGGGAGCUGCUGCUUCACCACACGGUGUCAGCAACAGAGAGAAAACACAAAAUGUGUAUCCAAAAACAGCGAUAAAAUGAUUCCUCCUGCUUUCAGUGGGACCAGGGCUAAUUCUGCCCUGGAGUGACAAAGAACUUCUCCCUCAGACCCCCAGAGACCCCUCAAAAAGCCAAAGUGCAGCAGGGAAGGAAGGAAAGGCACCUCUGCCUCACCUGCUGGGAACAGCACAGGUCCUGCUGCUCCUGGGCACUGGGAACGUGUCUGGAGCCAGGAGCUCCUUCCCAGGCUGGAGGGGCUUUCCUGAAGCAGCACCUCUGGGAAGGAAAGGGCUGUGCAAGACAUGGAGUGGGAGUUUACAAUAACAGUAAUAGUAAUAACAGUAACAAUAGUAACAAUGACAUGAAUAAUUAAUAAUAAUAAUAAUAAGGAAGAGCAGCAAAGGGAGCAACAAUAAUGCCAAGGGAGCAGGGAGGAUGCUGAGCUUUAAACAAGGUUUGAGUGAGGCAGCGUCUCCUGGUCUCUCUGAAGCACAGCUCCAGGCCUGGGAUUCCAGGAGCAGUGCAAACUCCCACUGGCCAAUCCCUGGAUUUGCCUCCUGCCAGCACUGGGCACCUUGGCCAUGUCUGGCUCAAGUGCUCCAGUGCUGCUGCCUGGAGGGAUGGGGAAAAUGGGCAUUAAACCCCUUCCCACAGGGCUGGCUCUGAGCUCUGCCUGGGGAAAGCAUUGGGCACCUCUGGCAUUUCAAUGAAAUCAGUUUCCAUCAUUGUGAAGAGACCCUGAAUAAACCCAGGGCACAUAAAUAAACCUUUCUCCAUACGGACAGCCCCAGGGAAUCCACAGUCAUUCCUAUGCCUGCUCAAACAAACAGCAGCCAGUUUUUGGGGAGAGACUCCAGACUCUUGUCUCCCUCCCUGGCUGUAAAACACUUGCAGAGGCUUUGGAGUUCACACAAGCUUGUCAGGAUCUGGAUAUUUAAUUUCAAUUCCAUUCAUAUACUAAGGGAUUGGAAGAGUCCUAAAGGCACCUCCACUCACACUUUAAUUUUUAGCCCACUACCACAGAUGAAUUGGGAUGUUCUUUUGUUAGGAACACCCCACCUUCCUCAGGCAUCUCCACGUGGGAGAUAAAAUAAAUGUGGACAAGAGUUUGGAAUGCAGCUUCCAAGUCAAGCUCCCUGCUAGGAAAUGACCCCAGCUCUCUGCUACCUUGGGCUGUUUCAAACACAGCCUGACCCAUGUAAGAAAAUGGAAUCAACCCUUUGUUCCAUUGGCCUCACACCCCGAAUUCCAGUGGGACAUACAAGUCCCUCUCCUUGGAAGGCAGCAUCUCCUACCUGGAGCUGGGCCUUCCCCAGCCUUUGGUGGCCGCUGUCUCCAUCCUCCCACACCUCCUCAUCCUCCUCCUCGCCAGGGCUGGCUUCCUCACCCUGCAGAGCAAACACAGGGACGGUCACCAGCCUGCUCAGCCCGGCCUGGGCAGCAGGGACAGGCUGGUGGCACCCUCUGGAUGUCACCCUGUGCCUGGCACCGUCCCUGCUCCGUGCCCAUCCCCGUUCCUGCCCCGGCAGCUCCUUGGAACGGGAUGUGAAACCACAAACGUUUGCUCUGCUGGGGCUGGCACAGCAGAGACUCCCCCGGGGCAGGGGGCAAAGCUCCUGCUCCCACAUCCUCUGCCUCCCACAGCCCUGCUGGGGCUGGCACAGCAAAGGAAACGCCUCAGCUCCUGCUGGAAACUCCCUCCUGUGCCCAUAAACCCAGGGAAAUCCUGGCUGCUCCAUCCCUGGAAGUGUCCAAGGCCGGGCUGGAUGGGGCUUGGAGCACCCUGGGCUGUGGAUGGAAUGGCAGGGGAUGGAAUUAAAUGAUCCUUAAGGUCCCUUCCCACUCAAACCAUUUGAGGACUCCAUG